GAUGAAGAACGUAGCGAAAUGCGAUAAGUAGUGUGAAUUGCAGAAUUCAGUGAAUCAUCGAAUCUUUGAACGCACAUUGCGCCCCUUGGUAUCCCGAGGGGCAUGCCUGUUCGAGCGUCAUUUCACCACUCAAGCCUGGCUUGGUGUUGGGCGACGUCCCCUUUGGGGACGCGCCUCGAAACGCUCGGCGGCGUGGCACCGGCUUUAAGCGUAGCAGAAUCUUUCGCUUUGGAAGUCGGGGCCCCGCCUGCCGGAAUACCUACUUGUAAGGUUGACCUCGGAUCAGGCAGGGAUACCCGCUGAACUUAAGCAUAUCAAUAAGCGGAGGA
rnacentral:misc_RNA from 1 species